UGCAGAAUCCCGUGAACCAUCGAGUCUUUGAACGCAAGUUGCGCCCGAAGCCUCUGGGCCGAGGGCACGCCUGCCUGGGCGUCA
rnacentral:rRNA from 1 species